CCUCUCGAUCGACGUCGUUGGGAAGCUCUGCAAGUUGGGGGUCGAGCGGUCCUUGCGGGACCCUGAAGAAAGGUGGAAAUCCACCAGCAAAUCCCAUGCCGCCGGAA
rnacentral:ribozyme from 14 species